CAAUUAAGCACAACUCUUUUUCUCACCAAACUCUCUCAUUCCCAACUUUUUCCCUUUUUCUUUUCAUUGAGCUCAUCUUCAUGCUUUUUCUUAUUUUUUCUUUUUCACAUGCAUUUUUCUUUUUCAACAAUUGAGCUCAAUGCUUCUUAAAAGCUUUCCAAUUUCCCCCAUGCAACCCCAAACUUGAACCUUUUCAUCA
rnacentral:lncRNA from 1 species